rnacentral:tRNA from 1 species
UCCCUGGUAGUAUAUCGGUUUAGUACACGCGCCUGUCAUGUGUCGUGUACGCUAUUAGACAAUUGAUCGCGCGAAAGCUGGGUUCGACUCCCAGCCAGGGAG